GGGAUUGUGGCGCAAUUGGUAGCGCGCUCGCUUAGCAUGUGAGAGGUACCGGGAUCAAUACCCGGCAGUUCCA